UACGGAGGGUGCAAGCGUUAUCAGGAAUCACUGGGUUUAAAGGGUGCGUAGGCGGCUAAGUAAGUCAGAGGUGAAAGCCCGCAGCUUAACUGCGAAAUUGCCUUUGAUACUGUAUAGCUUGAAAGGGGCUGAGGUCAGCAGAAUGUGGCAUGUAGCGGUGAAAUGCAUAGAUAUGCCAUAGAAUACCAAUUGCGAAGGCAGCUGGCUGGGCUUACUUUGACGCUGAGGCACGAAAGCGUGGGGAUAGAACAGG
rnacentral:rRNA from 1 species